GAUGAACGCUGGCGGCGUGCUUAACACAUGCAAGUCGAACGGUGAACACGGAGCUUGCUCUGUGGGAUCAGUGGCGAACGGGUGAGUAACACGUGAGCAACCUGCCCCUGACUCUGGGAUAAGCGCUGGAAACGGCGUCUAAUACUGGAUACGAGUAGCGGCCGCAUGGUCAGUUACUGGAAAGAUUUUUUGGUUGGGGAUGGGCUCGCGGCCUAUCAGUUUGUUGGUGAGGUAAUGGCUCACCAAGGCGUCGACGGGUAGCCGGCCUGAGAGGGUGACCGGACACACUGGGAUUGAGACACGGCCCAGACUCCUACGGGAGGCAGCAGUGGGGAAUAUUGCACAAUGGGCGAAAGCCUGAUGCAGCAACGCCGCGUGAGGGAUGACGGCCUUCGGGUUGUAAACCUCUUUUAGCAGGGAAGAAGCGAAAGUGACGGUACCUGCAGAAAAAGCGCCGGCUAACUACGUGCCAGCCGCCGCCGUAA
rnacentral:rRNA from 1 species